rnacentral:rRNA from 1 species
GAUGAACGCUGGCGGCGUGCUUAACACAUGCAAGUCGAACGGAAAGGCUCCUGCUUGCAGGGGUACUCGAGUGGCGAACGGGUGAGUAACACGUGGGUGAUCUGCCCUGCACUUCGGGAUAAGCCUGGGAAACUGGGGCUAAUACCGGAUAGGACGAUGGUUUGGAUGCCAUUGUGGAAAGUUUUUUCGGUGUGGGAUGAGCUCGCGGCCUAUCAGCUUGUUGGUGGGGUAAUGGCCUACCAAGGCGUCGACGGGUAGCCGGCCUGAGAGGGUGUACGGCCACAUUGGGACUGAGAUACGGCCCAGACUCCUACGGGAGGCAGCAGUGGGGAAUAUUGCACAAUGGGCGCAAGCCUGAUGCAGCGACACCGCGUGGGGGAUGACGGCCUUCGGGUUGUAAACUCCUUUCGCUAGGGACGAAGCGCAAGUGACGGUACCUGGAGAAGAAGCACCGGCUAACUACGUG